GAUGAACGCUAGCGGGAGGCCUAACACAUGCAAGCCGAGCGGGAUUUAAGACUAGCUUGCUAGUCUUAAUGAGAGCGGCGUACGGGUGCGGAACACGUGUGCAACCUGCCUUUAUCUGGGAGAUAGCCUUUCGAAAGGAAGAUUAAUAUCCCAUAAUAUAAUGAUUGGCAUCAAUUAUUAUUGAAAGCUCAGGAGGAUAGAGAUGGGCACGCGCAAGAUUAGAUAGUUGGUGAGGUAACGGCUCACCAAGUCGAUGAUCUUUAGGGGGCCUGAGAGGGUGAUCCCCCACACUGGUACUGAGACACGGACCAGACUCCUACGGGAGGCAGCAGUGAGGAAUAUUGGACAAUGGGUGAAAGCCUGAUCCAGCCAUCCCGCGUGAAGGAUUAAGGACCUAUGGUUUGUAAACUUCUUUUCUACAGGGAUAAACCUACUCUCGUGAGAGUAGCUGAAGGUACUGUAGGAAUAAGCACCGGCUAACUCUGUGCCAGCCGCCGCAGUAACAC
rnacentral:rRNA from 1 species